rnacentral:rRNA from 1 species
CCUACGGGAGGCAGCAGUGGGGAAUAUUGCGCAAUGGGCGAAAGCCUGACGCAGCGACGCCGCGUGAGGGAUGAAGGUCCUCGGAUCGUAAACCUCUGUCAGCAGGGAAGAAAGGUCACGGAGCUAAGCAGCAGUGAAUGGACGGUACCUGCAAAGGAAGCACCGGCUAACGCCGUGCCAGCAGCCGCGGUAAUACGGAGGGGGCGAGCGUUCAUCGGAAUUACUGGGCGGAAAGCUCGCGUAGGCGGUAUGUCAAGUCAAGGGUGAAAUCCCCGCGCUCCACGUGGGAACUGCCUUUGAAACUGGCAACCUGGAGUGUGUUAGAGGUUAGUGGAAUUC